rnacentral:rRNA from 1 species
UACGUAGGGGCCAAGCGUUGUCCGGAUCUAUUGGGCGUAAAGAGCUCGUAGGCGGUUCGGCAAGUCAGCUGUGAAAACUCACAGCUCAACUGUGGGCGUGCGGGCGAUACGGGCAGACUGGAGUACUGCAGGGGAGACUGGAAUUCCUGGUGUAGCGGUGGAAUGCGCAGAUAUCAGGAGGAACACCGGUGGCGAAGGCGGGUCUCUGGGCAGUAACUGACGCUGAGGAGCGAAAGCGUGGGGAGCGAACAGG